CCUACGGGAGGCAGCAGUGGGGAAUUUUCCGCAAUGGGCGAAAGCCUGACGGAGCAACGCCGCGUGAGGGAUGAAGGCCUCUGGGCUGUAAACCUCUUUUCUCAAGGAAGAAGAUCUGACGGUACUUGAGGAAUAAGCCACGGCUAAUUCCGUGCCAGCAGCCGCGGUAAUACGGGAGUGGCAAGCGUUAUCCGGAAUUAUUGGGCGUAAAGCGUCCGCAGGCGGCCCUUCAAGUCUGCUGUUAAAACGUGGAGCUUAACUCCAUCAUGGCAGUGGAAACUGUUGGGCUUGAGUGUGGUAGGGGCAGAGGGAAUUCCCGGUGUAGCGGUGAAAUGCGUAGAUAUCGGGAAGAACACCAGUGGCGAAGGCGCUCUGCUGGGCCAUAACUGACGCUCAUGGACGAAAGCCAGGGGAGCGAAAGGGAUUAGAUACCCCUGUAAUCCUGGCCGUAAACGAUGAACACUAGGUGUCGGGGGAAUCGACCCCCUCGGUGUCGUAGCCAACGCGUUAAGUGUUCCGCCUGGGGAGUACGCACGCAAGUGUGAAACUCAAAGGAAUUGACGG
rnacentral:rRNA from 1 species